rnacentral:tRNA from 1 species
AUACCCUUUAGCUUAAUUGGUAAAGUAAUGGUUUUCGAAUCCAUAGACACAGGUUCGAUUCCUGUAAGGGAUA